UAACGCGGCGGUAUGACAACGAUGCAAGUCGAACGAAAGUUAUACUUUAGCUGGCGGACGGGUGAGUAAUACGGAGAAUCUACCUUUAGGAAGGGAAUAACAAUUGGAGACGAUUGCUAAUGCCCUAUAUGCUUAGCAGUGAAACAGAUUUAUCUGCCUGAAGAUGAGCUCGCGCCUGAUUAGCUAGUUGGUAGAGUAAAAGCCUACCAAGGCAACGAUCAGUAGCUGGUUUGAGAGGACGAUCAGCCACACUGGGACUGAGACACGGCCCAGACUUCUACGGAAGUGCAGCAGUGGGGAAUUUUCCGCAAUGAGCGAAAGCUUGACGGAGCAAUACCGCGUGAGGGAAGAAUGCCUGUGGGUUGUAAACCUCUUUUUAUAGGGAAGAAAAUAUGACGGUACCUAAAGAAUAAGCAUCGGCUAACUCCGUGCCAGCAGCCGCGGUAAUACGGGGGAUGCAAGCGUUAUCCGGAAUUACUGGGCGUAAAGCGUCUGCAGGUGGCUUUAAAAGUCUGCUGUUAAAUAUUAGAGCUCAACUCUGAGUAAGCAGUGGAAACUGUUAGGCUAAAGUAUGGUAUGGGUAAAGGGAACUCCCAGAGUAGACGUUAAAAUGCGUAAAUAUUUCUC
rnacentral:rRNA from 1 species